GGUCGCUUAGCUCAGUUGGUUAGAGCGUGGUGCUAAUAGCCUUUGCAACGUUAACGCCAAGGUCGCGAGUUCGACCCUCGUAGUGACCA
rnacentral:tRNA from 1 species